UAACGCGUGAGAAUCUGGCUCUAGGUUCGGGACAACCACUGGAAACGGUGGCUAAUACCGGGUAUGCCGAGAGGUGAAAGGUAAACUGCCUGGAGAUGAGCUCGCGUCUGAUUAGCUAGUUGGUGGUGUAAGGGACUACCAAGGCGACGAUCAGUAGCUGGUCUGAGAGGAUGAUCAGCCACACUGGAACUGAGACACGGUCCAGACUCCUACGGGAGGCAGCAGUGGGGAAUUUUCCGCAAUGGGCGAAAGCCUGACGGAGCAAUACCGCGUGAGGGAGGAAGGCUCUUGGGUUGUAAACCUCUUUUCUCAGGGAAUAAGCAAGUGAAGGUACCUGAGGAAUCAGCAUCGGCUAACUCCGUGCCAGCAGCCGCGGUAAUACGGAGGAUGCAAGCGUUAUCCGGAAUGAUUGGGCGUAAAGCGUCCGUAGGUGGCUGUGUGUGUCUAUUGUUAAAGAGUUUGGCUUAACCAAAUAAGGGCGGUAGAAACUACACAGCUAGAGUGCGUUCGGGGCAGAGGGAAUUCCUGGUGUAGCGGUGAAAUGCGUAGAGAUCAGGAAGAACACCGGUGGCGAAAGCGCUCUGCUAGG
rnacentral:rRNA from 1 species